UCCAGGGGCCACUCGAGUCAGGACAGAUGCGGACACUCACCAUGGAGCGUGGGCUGAGCUGGCUGCUCCUCCUGGCUCUUCUAGGGGGUGUCCGGUGUGAGGAGAAGCUGGUGGAGUCUGGGGGAGACUUGGUGCAGCCUGGGGGGCCUCUCAGACUCUCCUGUGCAGCCAUAGGAUUCACCUCCAGCAACAACUACAUGAACUGGGUCCGCCAGGCCCCAGGAAAGGGUCUACAGUGGGUUGCAAGAACUUACAGUAAUGGUGGUAACACAUACUAUGCAGACUCCGUGAAGGGCCGAUUCACCAUCUCCAACGACAACGCCAAGAACACAAUUUAUCUGCAGAUGAACAGCCUGAAGCCCGAGGACACAGCCGUGUAUUACUGUGGGAGAAGCACAGUGAGAGGAACAGGUGUGAGCCCAGACACAAACCCUGCAGGGACAGGAGGGGGCUGGGCUGGUCCACUGGGCAUCCUGGACCCCAAUGCACCCUCUCAGCAGCACAGUCCUGACCCAGCUCUGCACACGGCUCAGGGCCGGGUCAGCAGGGCCAGGAGGGACCUCCCUGAGCCUGGGAGGUGGCUGCCCAGCGGUGGGGUGACCCAGGUCAGGGGUCCAGGGCAGGCGGCAUAG